rnacentral:rRNA from 1 species
GUGUACACAAGAUAGAGCUCACAUCAAGUUUUAUUAAACCUUACAAUUAAAUCCACCUUCAAAAGUUAUUUCAGAAACUAAAUCCGUUUUAGUCCUAUAAUUGUAACCCACCUCUAACUUUUAUAUAAGCUGCACCUUUACUUGAAGUAAAUAAUUUUUUUAUGUAAGAAAGUUUUCUAAAGAAACUGACUGACAACAGCGGUAUACAAACUGAUUACAAAUAAAAGUAAAGUUUUUCGUGGUUCAUCGUUCACAGGGCAGGUUCCUCUAAAUGGCUAUCUUGCCGCCAAAUCCGUUAAAUUUCAUAAUUUUUACUAUUCCAAAAUUUAUUAUUUAUAAGUA